GACGAACCGUGCGAACGUUGUUCGGAAUCACUGGGCUUAAAGGGCGCGUAGGCGGGCCUCCCAGUCCGGGGUGAAAGCUUUCGGCUUAACCGGAAAAGUGCCUUGGAUACUGGAGGCCUGGAGGGGGGUAGGGGCAGCCGGAACUUCCGGUGGAGCGGUGAAAUGCGUUGAUAUCGGAAGGAACGCCGGUGGCGAAAGCGGCGUGCUGGACCUCUUCUGACGCUGAGGCGCGAAAGCCAGGGGAGCAAGCGGG
rnacentral:rRNA from 1 species